rnacentral:rRNA from 1 species
UACGGGGGGGGCAAGCGUUGUUCGGAAUUACUGGGCGUAAAGGGCUCGUAGGCGGCCAACUAAGUCAGACGUGAAAUCCCUCGGCUUAACCGGGGAACUGCAUCUGAUACUGGAUGGCUUGAGUUCGGGAGAGGGAUGCGGAAUUCCAGGUGUAGCGGUAGAAAUGCGCAGAUAGUCGGGAAGAACACCCGUGGCGAAGGCGGCUACUCUGGGACGGUAC